rnacentral:rRNA from 1 species
CACGUAGGUGGCAAGCGUUGUCCGGAUUUAUUGGGUUUAAAGGGUGCGUAGGCGGCUUUGUAAGUCAGUGGUGAAAUAUGGCAGCUCAACUGUCAGGGUGCCAUUGAUACUGCGGAGCUUGAGUACAGAUGAGGUAGGCGGAAUUGACGGUGUAGCGGUGAAAUGCUUAGAUAUCGUCAAGAACACCGAUAGCGAAGGCAGCUUACUGGGCUGUAACUGACGCUGAGGCACGAAAGUGUGGGGAUCAAACAGG